CGUCGCCACUUGACACAGACAAGCCGCUAUGGGAAGUACACCUGUUGAUGGCGCAUAAGUGCACCGUCUUUCGCGUUCAUCAUGCGUUGGGAGAUGGGAUUUCGUUGAUGUCGAUGUUGUUGUCGUGCUGUCGCAGGGCUGAUGAUCCUGUUCAGCUGCCCCAAAUCAGUUCUAUUAACAAAAAGAAUACUACGACUAGUAAUAUUGGAAAUAUGGCUUGGACAGGGGUGACGGCCGUAUGGUUUACGGCGGUGUUUGUGUUGGAGUUUGUGCUGAGGAGCUUGUGGAAGAAGGAUAAGAGGACCGCCGUGAGCGGGGGAGAUGGGGUGGAGCUAUGGCCCAGAAAAUUGGCGACCGCCAGAUUUAGACUUUACGACAUGACGACGGUCAAAUGUUCAGUUCCGGACGCAGUAAGUUUUCAACACUUACGCUAAUAUAUUACUCCCUCCGUUCAUAAGUACAUGACGUUAUAGGCUCAGGGCUUAUGCACAAUAAUAAAGAUAAUGAUUUAUAAAUAGUUAAAAGUAUAGUAAUUGUCUAACGUAGUAUUGACAUGAUAAUAUGACUUUUCAUUAAAAAUUAAUUUAAGAUAUUUUUAAAAUUAAAAUUAAAAUUAUAAUAUUAAUUAAAUAUUAUAAAAUAAUAAUUUAUAAUAUUUAUUAUUGUAUUAAUUAAAAUUUAAAAAAUUAUGUCAAUUUUAAAUUUAAAAAUAUUUUAAGUUGAUUUUAAAAAAUUAUUAUAUGGAGUUGGUAUUUUAUUUUACAUGGUAAGAAGAAUUAUUUUUGGGUAAGUAAGGGUAAAAGAUAUAAACAUGGGUAUACAGACAGACGAACCGCUAACGCCGGCAAGCCGGCUUUUUCUCACGCCAGAAAUGAGCACAAUAAUCCACUGCGCCGUCGCCGUAAAACUCCCCAUCAACAUAGACACCGCUAGAUCCGUUAUCGAAAACUCCAUCUUGGUCAAACACCCGAGGUUCACCAGCUUGUUAGUCACAGACCGUCACGCCCGUGGAUACUGGAGAAAAACCCACGUCGACAUAGACCGCCACAUCAUCGUUCACCAUGAUCGUGUCAGCGAAGUCACCGACGACGAGGAAGCCAUUAACGAUUACCUCGCCGAUCUGUCCGUCGGCUCGCCGCUCGACACGGAAAAGCCGCCAUGGGAAAUACACCUUUUGAUGGCACACAAGAUUUUUCGGUUUCAUCAUGCGUUGGGAGACGGGAUUUCGUUGAUGUCGGCGUUGUUGUCGUGCUGCCACAGGGCCGAUGAUCCUGAUCAGCUGCCCCAAAUCAAUUCUUCUACCAUUAGUAAAAAGAAUAAUCAUAAUAAUAGUAUAAGGUGGAGUGGAAAUAUUGGAAAUAGGGUGUGGAGAGUUGUGAUGGUGUUAUGGAGUACAGCAGUGAUUGUGUUGGAGUUGAUGAUGAGGAGCUUGUGGAAGAUGGAUAAGAGGACCGUCGUGAGCGGUGGAGCUGGGGUGGAGCUGUGGCCCAGGAAAUUGGCCACCGCCAAGUUUAGGCUUGACGAUAUGAAGACGGUUAAAACUUCAGUUGCUGACGCCG
rnacentral:lncRNA from 1 species